CACGCGUUCCCAUCUCGAACACGACCGUUAAGCCCUCCAGCGUCGAUGGUACUUGAACCGCAGGGUUCUGGGAGAGUAGAACGUCGCCAAGC
rnacentral:rRNA from 1 species